UUCUGCCUUCAACUGCUGCUACUAAUAUUAGUGAAAAAAUAGAAGCAAUAAAGGCCACAUUCAAAUUAUAUUGUUAGCAACAUGUAUAUUGUUUCCUUUUUGGUUUAUUAAUUAAUAUGCUUCUUUUAUUGUUAGGCUAUGUGCCAAUUAAAUUCUGAAAAUAGGAAAAACAAAAGUGGAGGCAUCGAAUGGGACCUAUUAAUUUUGCAAGAGUGCGUGUGGAAUUGCACGCAACCAAAGAGAACAACGAGGAACCAUCAAAGUCUGAAAUGUUUAUUACAACUUGUACAAAGAAAGGGAAGGAAGUUCAUUCAAAUACUCAAGUUGCAAUAGUAAAUCAUGCUGCAAGUUAAGUCUUGUUAUUUUAUUUUCUCUCUUUAACUGAAUGUGUUUCUUUAAUAUGAUUUUAUUUGUACAAGAUGUUAGAUAUUUGUCAACCUUUCUCAAAUAAUAUGAUUAUACCGGCACAAGAUUUUUAAUAUGAUGUUGCCUGCACAGAAUUCUCCAUUCUGUAUCUGUGAGUCAUAAAUGUUGAAUGAAAAUAAAUAUUCAGAAGUAGAUGAUAUUAUUUGUUUCAGAAGUAGUCAUUUGGAGUAGAUACUUGUCCACUCUAGUAGAAGCUCGAACCACCAUUGUCCAGUCUUCCCCAGUUGAUAUCCUUGCUAUUCCAUUGUCCUUAGAUUUAACAUCCUUUGAUCCAGUAACUUAUCCAGCAGUUUCCCCGUUACUACUGAAAUUUUCAGAUUGCAAAGCAAUCUCACGAUCCUCCUUGUCACUUUUAGGUUCAACGGCUUAUUGUGAAUCUUCCUUUUGCACAACCUGCUCGCUUCCAUCCUUCAAAAGAGUUGUUUGUGCACCAACAGUAUAUUGAUCAUCAAUUGGAUGAGUACAUCUUUAGCUUCCACACCUGUUGAUUUAUCAGUUGUUUUACCCAAUCUAACAAUAGGUCGAUCACCAUCUGUCGCACCAGCUUUUGCCUUCUCACGUGCAAACUGUUGUACAUUAGUUUGCCUCUAUCCUUUUUGUCCAGAACCUGGACCUGUAGCAACACCCUGCUCGUUAACCUCCACUUGUCGCUGCACCUCGACUUUAGAUUUAUCAAAAUUUUGCACAGCCUCCGACUUCUUCUGAUUAUUCCUCAUAAGCACAAUAUUUUCCAUAGCGACUAGACAUGAGUUACUCUUCCAGCAACAGCUACAUCCUAUGAAAAUCUAGCAAAAGCUAUUUCAACAGGAACUAUAGCAGUACUAGCGACAGCUGCUACAUGUGAUGUCUUAAACGGAUUUUAAGCAUACUCAUGAUCCCCCUGAUGUGAUUUUGAAGCCGGUGUAGCAGCUGUAGGAUUAAACAAGAAAUUUUGAUAGGUGGUAUAUCUGGUUCAAGGUUUAAACAGGAUUAAACAAGAUUACACAGGUUUAAACAGGAUUAACCAGAUAAAUAAGAAAUUUUAUAUGUGCUAUAUCUGGUUCAACUUAUUCUUAAUUUUUGGACUUGUCUCUAAUUUCUCUGUAGCCAGUGGUAGUCGCGGUUCUGAUUUAUUAUGUGCAAAUAGCUGAAAGAAGUUGGGAAGUUGGGUGCUGGUUCAUAGGCUGAAGAAAUUAAGUACCUUAUACGAAAGACUGACAAACCCAGCUAACAACUGAACUUUUCCUACCACCUUUGCGUUUGAUGAAACCUCUUCAUUCAUAUUAAGCUGUCAAAUACCUAAGUGGUCUUAUAGCACAUUAUCCGAAGCAAAGGAAACAUUUUGCAGGCUAUCGCUAUUUGGUACAUGUUCACAAAUUUCCUUCUUGGAUAAGAGUUAACUGCUUCUGAACUUAACACCUAUUUUCCGAUUAAAAAACUACAAAAGCGCUUAGGUCUGCUCCUUUGAGCAAUUCCUUCGUUCAUUGAGAAUGAAUACAGUUAGAUUGUGCUAGAUGUUGCCAAUGAAUUCCAGCUAGGAAGUAACACGAAAACUACAAAAUGAAACUUCAUAUUAAAAUGGUUAUGAUCAUUGUCACUGAAAAAUCUAUUGACAUUCUUGGCUAAAUUUUGAGGUAUGUUAAACUUUUAUUUAAUCUGACUUGACUUGUUAAAAAUUAUUUUAGUGCUCUAUCUAUCUUGACUUGUAAGUGAUGUGUAAUAAUAAUUAUUUGAUAGUAUGAACUUCAGAAUUGCCAAAUUCUGGAGAAACAACAGAUGAUGCAUUUAGGGCUGUAUUUGGAAAGGAGCAGCCUGGUCAGGUUAGAUGCUAUGGUAGAUCGGUGAUGACAAGCUCUCUGAAAAAAGAUGAAGAAAUCACCAAGCUUAAACAAAAUCAUGCCAACGAAAUAACUUCUCUGAAGGAAGAAAUGAACGAAAUGAUGAGGAAAGAAAUGUGAUGUUCUUUUAGUCAAUUGGUGAAAAACAACCCUGGAUUAGAUUUUCAUGAUAUACAAGGGUGUGUUGGAUCUAAUAUUCCUUCACCGGUUGAUGCAAGUAGUGCACGAGCUAUGAGAAGCAAAAAUCUACAACAUUCUUCUGGCUCAACUCAUGCCCCGAGUAUUGAAAAGGUAUUUAUAUUUUACAAUUCCAAAAACUACCUCAAUCUUAAGUAACUUACAAAAUCAUGCUUUCUAUAAGUGUGUGAUAGGAAACUGAAUCUAUUGUCAUGACUAAGAUUCUAGGGGUCAUAAUGUUUGAAAGUAGACUAUAGAAAAAAUAUUUGCAGAGUUGGUUAUUGGUAUCUCAAUAGGUAUUUUGUUUCUUUGAGGA